rnacentral:rRNA from 1 species
UACGUAGGGACCAAGCGUUGUUCGGAUUUACUGGGCGUAAAGGGCGCGUAGGCGGCAAAUUAAGUCAGUUGUGAAAUCUCCGGGCUUAACUCGGAAAGGUCAACUGAUACUGUGCGACUAGAGUGCGGAAGGGGCAACCGGAAUUCUCGGUGUAGCGGUGAAAUGCGUAGAUAUCGGAAGGAACAUCAGUGGCGAAAGCGACUUCCUGGACCAAUACUGACGCUCAUGUGCGAAAGCGUGGGGAGCAAACAGG